rnacentral:rRNA from 1 species
GACGAACGCUGGCGGCGUGCUUAACACAUGCAAGUCGAACGGAGAGGCCCUGCUUUUGUGGGGUGCUCGAGUGGCGAACGGGUGAGUAACACGUGAGUAACCUGCCCUUGACUUUGGGAUAAUUUCAGGAAACUGGGGCUAAUACCGGAUAGGAGCUCCUGCUGCAUGGUGGGGGUUGGAAAGUUUCGGCGGUUGGGGAUGGACUCGCGGCUUAUCAGCUUGUUGGUGGGGUAGUGGCUUACCAAGGCUUUGACGGGUAGCCGGCCUGAGAGGGUGACCGGCCACAUUGGGACUGAGAUACGGCCCAGACUCCUACGGGAGGCAGCAGUGGGGAAUAUUGCACAAUGGGCGGAAGCCUGAUGCAGCAACGCCGCGUGCGGGAUGACGGCCUUCGGGUUGUAAACCGCUUUCGCCUGUGACGAAGCGUGAGUGACGGUAAUGGGUAAAGAAGCACCGGCUAACUACGUG